rnacentral:rRNA from 1 species
GACGAACGCUGGCGGCGUGCUUAACACAUGCAAGUCGAACGGAAAGGCCCUGCUUUUGUGGGGUGCUCGAGUGGCGAAAGGGUGAGUAACACGUGAGUAACCUGCCCUUGACUUUGGGAUAACUUCAGGAAACUGGGGCUAAUCCCGGAUAGGAGCUCCUGCUGCAUGGUGGGGGUUGGAAAGUUUGGGCGGUUGGGGAUGGACUCGCGGCUUAUCAGCUUGUUGGUGGGGUAGUGGCUUACCAAGUCUUUGACGGGUAGCCGGCCUGAGAGGGUGACCGGCCACAUUGGGACUGAGAUACGGCCCAGACUCCUACGGGAGGCAGCAGUGGGGAAUAUUGCACAAUGGGCGGAAGCCUGAUGCAGCAACGCCGCGUGCGGGAUGACGGCCUUCGGGUUGUAAACCGCUUUCGCCUGUGACGAAGCGUGAGUGACGGUAAUGGGUAAAGAAGCACCGGCUAACUACGUG